GUGCAAUCAGCAUGCUCCCCGCAGGGUCUCUUCCCCCUCUUCUCCACGCAAGUAGAAACGCACAGCGCACACCAUCCACCGCCGCACCAAGAUCACACACCCGGCAAAAAAAAAGUAAAGGGUAUAGAACAAGGCUAUAUGAGCAGCGCCUUUCAGACCUCUGCGUCACAGCACCGACCGACCUCCCCACCCCCUUCCCUCACCUACACCCACACAUACACACCCGAAUCGCUUACUCGUUGACUAAUCCACAUUACGGUAGCUGUUGAUCCGCUUUCCGAUUCGUUCGUGUACACUUGUGCGUUCCUCUUCCGACCCUCUGUCUCUGCGACUGCGCGCAUCGGUGCGGAUUGCAGUCGUCUUUCUCUGGAGCUUGCCGCCCCGCACUCAUUCACCCACCCACCCUCCCCCCGAUCCCAACACCACAUCAUCUGUUUUUUUUUUUUUUGCUUCGUCUACCCCCAGCAACAAGGAUGCAGGCCAAGGGCGAAGCCGCCAUGCGCGACUUGAUCGCGGAGCUGCACGCGAUGCAGUCUCCCUACACGGUGCAGCGCUUUAUCAGCAGCGGCAGCUACGGCGCGGUGUGCGCCGGUGUCGAUAGCGAGGGGAUUCCGGUCGCCAUCAAGCGCGUGUUCAACACCGUCUCGGAUGGCCGCACGGUCAACAUUCUGUCGGACUCAUUCCUCUGCAAGCGCGUGCUACGCGAGAUCCGCUUGCUCAACCACUUCCACCACCCGAACAUCCUAGGCCUGCGUGACAUCUUCGUGCACUUCGAGGAGCCGGCGAUGCACAAGCUCUACCUCGUGACGGAGCUGAUGCGGACGGACCUGGCGCAGGUGAUCCACGAUCAGCGCAUUGUCAUCUCGCCACAGCAUAUCCAGUAUUUCAUGUACCACAUCUUGCUUGGCCUGCACGUGCUGCACGAGGCCGGCGUCGUUCACCGCGACCUGCACCCCGGCAACAUCUUGUUAGCAGACAACAACGACAUCACCAUCUGCGACUUCAACCUCGCGCGCGAGGACACGGCGGAUGCGAACAAGACGCACUACGUGACGCACCGCUGGUACCGUGCGCCGGAGCUGGUCAUGCAGUUCAAGGGCUUUACGAAGCUGGUGGAUAUGUGGUCGGCGGGCUGCGUUAUGGCCGAGAUGUUCAAUCGUAAGGCGCUUUUCCGCGGCUCCACCUUCUACAACCAGCUCAACAAGAUUGUGGAGGUGGUCGGCACACCCAAGCUAGAGGACGUGGUCAUGUUCAGCUCUCCCAGUGCCCGCGAUUACCUGCGCAACUCGCUGUCAAACGUGCCUGCCCGUGCGUGGACGGCUGUUGUGCCCACGGCCGACCCGGUCGCACUCGACCUCAUCGCGAAGAUGCUCGAGUUCAACCCGCAAAGGCGCAUCAGCACGGAGCAGGCGCUCCGCCACCCGUACUUCGAGUCGCUCUUCGACCCGCUGGACCUCACAGAGGGUCUGAGCGAGCGGUUCCAUUUCGACGAGUCCGUGACGGAUGUGUGGGACAUGCACAAGAUUUUUACUGCCGAGGUGGAGCGCUUCAACGACCUGCGAGAGAGGCGGGAGGAGGUGGCCCGCGAGCGUGCCAUGGCAGCGCAGCAACAGGGCGAGCAGGUGCUCGGUACCGACCACAUGCCUCGAACGCACAGCCUCAUGGAGUUAGCAGGUAACGCGCCGGCCCCGUCGUGAUCGAGCCUCGCCGCAGCCAGCGAAGCAGAAACGCGUGCACGCCUGCGUGUGCUUGUGCGAACUCGUGUACGCGUGUGAGGUCCCAGGAAACAAAGGUCGAUCUUGUCUUCAGCGGCGAGCCACGAUACGGUGGAAGAGGCUGUGGUGUGGCAGCAUAACAAAGGACUCACCCGCCUAGGAAUGAGCUCGGGCCAACGUGGAGGAAAAGCGAGAGGGACACACGGCAGCGGGACGAGUCACCGGCGGAUAAAAAAGAAGACGGAAAUCGAGUGCACAUGCCCGUGCGAUGUGCGCGUGAACGUUUCGCGGCAGUGCGUAUGCGUGGAUGCGUCGGAGCGCGAGUGGAAAGGUGAGGAACAUGGGCACAUGUGCGCCCCAGGGUGUGUGUGUAUCACGCUGUGCGGCCCACGCCGGACUGUGACACGGGAGGGACGGAAAAGCACAGCGCAGCAGACGGGGAAGGAACAGGCUCCAUCGUACGUCAUCAGAGGCGUGUGCUUGCGUGCGUCUGCCUGCCUUCUUUCUCACUCUCUAGUCUUAUUCCCUUCUCGCUCGUCACCACCACCACCCCACGAACGGCGUGUCCGUGCGCCAACCGCCACCCGCCACCCCUCAAAAAAAAUCAGUUCUCUUUUGCGGCCGAUUUCGGGCAGCCGUAGCCGAUAAAAGUUGAUGCAUCUCGUCGUCCUCCUCCUCUCUUGUCGUGGUCCCCUUCGCCUCUCUCUGUUGGUCUCUCUCCUUCUCCCUGAACGGUAUCUCCCCUCUGAUAGCUGCUCCAGGUGGCUCGCGGGCGGCGACGUUCGGCAUCGUCACAGCAGCCAAAAAAACGGAGGUAGAGCGAAAGACGGAAGGAAACCAACGUUUUGCUUGUCCGUGAGAUGUGCGUGUGUUUUGUGUGUGUGUGUGUGUUUCGACUGCGUCACAUACUCAUCGUGAUUGUUUUUCUCGGUCGCUCUGCUGCUGCUGCUUUCGAUGUGCUUCGGCACCUUUCCUGUUCUCUGAGAGAUCGCCGUCCCACCCCCCCCCUCCCUCUCUCGGCCUGUAUCUUCGCGCACAUGCACAUAAAAACGUGACAAAAAAAAAUUCAGCUUAUGUGUGUGUGUCUCUCUCUCUGUGUAUGUGUCUCCGUGUCCGUGUCCGUCUGGGUGCCUGCUUUCCCGCCGUCACUACACACACGCACACACACACACACACACAUAUGUAUAUGUAUAUAUGUAUAUUUUUUUUUUUUUUUUUUUUUUUUUUUUUUUUUUUUUUUUUUUUUUUUUUUUUUUUUUUUUU
rnacentral:misc_RNA from 1 species